CACACUAAAGCUUACAUGGCACUACGGGAUUGGUUGGACAACACAAUAGGGCUUACUUGGCAUGUUGUGAUUGGAUGAGCUAUGUGGCAUUUUCAGAAAAUUCAUUGGGAAAAUAAUAGAAGAAUCAUGAAGCCUUUGCCGUCCCCUAUAUAUACUCCCUCAUUCUUGACGUUUUAGAGCUCCACACCCCAUAAUUCAGAAAAUAUUCUCUCCAUAACGUCAAGCUCUCUCUCCAUCCUCUAGUGCAUUCAACGUUUCAAGCAAGGAAGAAGAAGAAGAAGAAGGAGCCAUGAGCAUCACCAUCCAUCCUCCACCUUGAAGACUUGCUUCCAAGAUUCAAGACUCCAAACGUCAAGCCUCCAUCUCCAUCAUCCAUCUCACGGUGUCCUUGGAGCAAACAAGCUGAAAUAAGCUCAAAAGGGAAAGAAGAGUUGGAGAACUUUGGAGGGAGCUCAAGGACUGCAUAAAUGUUUCAACCAGGAAACCUUGUCCAGAAAAGGAAACUUUGUCACAACAAGACCCUCGAAGCAACCAAGAAAGGAAAACGGAAAAAUGAAGUGUCAUGGCAUUGAGAGAAGCUUCUUGAAGACAUUAGAAGAUGACAUGGCUUGAAGGUGACGCAUAAAGGCCCAAGAACUCUCAAGAGAAGUUGGAUUUUCGGCAAAAUGGAUAAAGGCCCAUGGAAAUUAGGGUUUGUGACGCAUGAGAGAUAUUUUUGGAGGAUUUAUAUGUGUUUGCCGUGAAAUACAAGAGGAAAAGAAGGAGACAACGUUGAAAAUCAGAAAUAUAAUUGAAGAUUUCGAUUGGAGUAAUUCAAGGUAGAUUUUUAAGGAAAGAGAUAUUCUUGGAGGAGUUAAUUGUGUUGAUUGCCGUGAAAAGGGAGAGAGAACAACGUGAAAAUCAGAAAAUAUCAAGGAGAUUGGCGUUGGAGACUUUCGAGGGAGAAGUUUAAGGAAAGAAGAAGUGUGUGCAACAAGAAAGAAGUCCAAAACAAGUCUAGGUUCGUUCCCUAUUUUCUCUAAGGAUAUUAUGGCUGAAAUUGGUGAAGAAAAUCAGAAUAAAUCUUAUAUAUUUCGGCAAUAAUAUAUUAAAAGGGAUUUAGACUUAUUUUGGAGAGUUUUGAUUGGUUGGAUGACACACUAAAGCUUACAUGGCACUACGGGAUUGGUUGGACAACACAAUAGGGCUUACUUGGCAUGUUGUGAUUGGAUGAGCUAUGUGGCAUUUUCAGAAAAUUCAUUGGGAAAAUAAUAGAAGAAUCAUGAAGCCUUUGCCGUCCCCUAUAUAUACUCCCUCAUUCUUGACGUUUUAGAGCUCCACACCCCAUAAUUCAGAAAAUAUUCUCUCCAUAACGUCAAGCUCUCUCUCCAUCCUCUAGUGCAUUCAACGUUUCAAGCAAGGAAGAAGAAGAAGAAGGAGCCAUGAGCAUCACCAUCCAUCCUCCACCUUGAAGACUUGCUUCCAAGAUUCAAGACUCCAAACAUCAAGCCUCCAUCUCCAUCAUCCAUCUCACGGUGUGUACCCUCAAUGCCCUGAUUAGAUCGAUCCCUAUUUACUGCGUACUAAUAAUGAUAUCUUAUAGGAUUAAAUUAUAUGCUUGCUUUGAGCAUAUCAGAAGAGAAGCAGCCCAAGACGCAGCCCAAUUCCAGACGAGCCCAGAAAAAGAAAAAGACAGAAGGCCAGCCCAGAGGAGAAGGAAGGAAGCCUUCGGCCCCGAAGAAAAAGAAAGCCUUCGGCCCAGAAGCCCACUUAUCCAGGCCCUGACAAUUCCAGAUGAGCCCAGAAAAAAAAAAAGACAGAAGGCCAGCCCAAAGGAGAAGGAAGGAAGCCUUCGGCCGAGAAGAAAAAGAAAGCCUCCGGCCCAGAAGCCCACUGAUCCAAGCCCGUUGACGUCCGCCCUGCAGCCAUCAACACGUCAGCUUCGCCGCGUCAGCAAAGAUCCGCCACGUCAACGACACGUCAGUGGCCGACUGCCACGUCAGUAGCUCCGGCGACAGGUCACCGACGACAACUUUUCCGACCAGAUUUCAGGCGACUUUUUUCGGCCAAAUUUUCCGGCGAUCUAUUUAGAGGAUGAGUAACCUAAACAAAUUGGACUUUACUCCAUUGGGAACAAUUGACUCUGGAUAUCACAAGUGAGUUCAUGAUAUUCGCCAGCAUCUCAAGGCCGAUGGAAUCCUGGAUACGAUUCUCGAGCCUAGCCAGGACGUGCUAACUAUUGAGCAAGCUCAAGCUUUGGAAGCAAAUAGAGCAGCCUUAGAGGCAAAUAAGGCGAAAGCCAUCAUCCUAAUGACUCAUCAUAUGGAUGAUUCGCUCCAGUACGAGUAUAUGAAUGAAGAAGACCCCAGAAGGUUGUGGGUCUCACUCGAAGAAAGAUUUGGUACCGUCCGUGACUCCAUGCUUCCUGAACUAGAAGUGAGACGGCAUAGCCUCCGCUUUUGUGAUUUCAAGUAAGUUAUUGACUACAACUCGGAAGCACUUCGCAUUAAAUCCUUAAUGGAAUUCUGUGGUAAAUAGAUCACAAAUGCGAUGUUGAUUGAGAAGACUCUCUCUACCUUCCCCAUCUCUGCAUUGAUGGUUGCUAAGAACUAUCGAAUCGAUGUUACUGCAGGACGAAUCACAAGGUUUCAUGAGCUUAUUGGAGCUAUGAAUGUCGCUGAAAAGCAUGACAACAUCCUUGUGAAGAACUAUAAUUCGAGAUCCGUGGAAACAGAGCAUAUUCCGGAAUCCAAUUAUAGUCGCGCCCCUAAGAGAGGGCGCCAAGAGCAAAACCCUAAUCUUAGGGAUAUUUCUGGACGUUCUGGUCUAUAUAAUCGCUCUUCUUGGGAAGGUAACCGCCAAAAUAAGCGAACACGGAACCGAAGAGGUCAACGUGGAAAGAGAGAGGGAGGUAACGCCUUUGGCCAUGUUGGUGGCGCUACCAACACUAAGAGCCAUCUAAAUGACGCUUUCAAAGCACUUCAAUCAAUGGAGUUUGAGCAAAGAGAUGUAUGUUCUCGAUGUGGAGUAUCCGGUCAUUGGGCACACAAUUGUAGAGCUCGUGAAGAAAUUUUCACCGCCUACAAAGCAUAUUGUGAAGCAAGAAAACCUCACGAUGUGGAACAAGAAGGUCAAGAUGAUGAUCUAGAGUGAAGGGUUAAAGACUACGAAUCUGGCUGGGAUCAAUAGAUCGCCAAUUCUGUUUAAGUCUUUAUUUUUCCAAGAGAUGUAAUUGCCAUAUAUUUUUGUAGUAAAUGCCAAUGGUUUAGUCUUUCUUCAAAGAAGGCUCACCCAAAGUAAGUGUGAUGUCUAGGAAGGUUAUGAGAUUAGUGGUAC